GAUGAACGCUAGCGGCAGGCCUAAUACAUGCAAGUCGAACGGUAUCCAGAUCAAAGCUUGCUUUGGUCUGGUGAGAGUGGCGCACGGGUGCGUAACGCGUGAGCAACCUACCCUUGUCAGGGGGAUAGCCCGGCGAAAGUCGGAUUAAUACCGCAUGACAUCAUUGAGAGGCAUCUUUCGAUGAUCAAAGAUUUAUCGGACAAGGAUGGGCUCGCGUGACAUUAGCUAGUUGGUAAGGUAACGGCUUACCAAGGCUGCGAUGUCUAGGGGCUCUGAGAGGAGAAUCCCCCACACUGGUACUGAGACACGGACCAGACUCCUACGGGAGGCAGCAGUAAGGAAUAUUGGUCAAUGGACGGAAGUCUGAACCAGCCAUGCCGCGUGCAGGAAGACGGCCCUAUGGGUUGUAAACUGCUUUUAUACGGGAACAAACGUCGGUACGUGUACCGGUCUGAGUGUACCGUAAGAAUAAGGAUCGGCUAACUCCGUG
rnacentral:rRNA from 1 species